rnacentral:lncRNA from 1 species
AAAUCCAGAGAAAGACAAAUGAAAUGGGUGCCAAUAAAUCCUCAAGGCUGCAGAGAUAAAAGAAAAGAAUGAAAAUCCAGGAUGCAACAAUCUAUUCUACUAUCUAAUCUCCCUUUUUCCACUCUUUGUUUUCAUUUUUUUUUAAUGCUGCUCUGAGAGAUCCAAAAUUAGACAUGAAUUUUCUUGAAGGUUAAGUCUUCUUUUUGCAUUUGUUUCCAGGACACACCUGACCCUCACAUACAAGAAACACUGCCUUCUGCAGGGAAAAGAUUCAACAAUUCCAAGUCCGUCAUCUAAGAUCCUUUACUCUCUUUUCUCUACAAGAUAAGAAUAAAAUUCAAUCACGGACCUAAGUAGGUAUAAUAGACAUUAAUAUAAAUCUUUUAAAUACUAAUACUCUUUCCUAUAAACAUCUAUUCAAUAAGGCUAAAAGAUGAAAAUAAAAUCAAAAAUUUGCUUUUUGUCAUUCUGGUAAUGCUGUUCUUCAUCAUAGACAAUAACUUGGAGAUAACUUCAAGCCAGAGAUGGUAGCUUUGCUCAUAGUUGCUUUGGAUGGUAAUCAAAUGAGACUUUCGUUUAUGUCACAGAUGGAAGCUUGCAAGUCAAAACAUUCAAAAGAAAUGAAGAUUUCUACAUACCCAAGAACUAAUGAGCUAGCCAGUGAGUGAGUCAUUAUCCAUUUAUGUCACAGAUGGAAGCUUCUAAGUCAAAACAUUCAGAAGAAAUGAAGAUUUCUACAUACCCAAGAACCACUCAGCUAGCCAGUGAGUGAGUCAUCAUCCCUCACUUGGCCUGCUCUUUGGCUCCAUACUGGCUUCUUGGCUCCUGUUCUUUACCUGCUACAGUUUUUGUCCACAUAGUAGCCAGAAUGAUUCUAUUGAAAUGAAACAGACUAUGUCAUUUAAGCUCAAAAACCUCGAACAACUUUUCAUCUCACUCAGAAUACUAUGAUUGUGUGGAACCCAUAUUAUAUGACCUCUGGCUAACUUGAUUGAAUUUAUACCUCACCAUUCUUUCCUUCUCAAAGUUCACUCCAUCAGCCCUGACUUUUUGGUGGUGAAACCAAGUAUGCUUCCAUUCACUGCCUCUGCACCUACAUAGCUUCUGCUUGUGAAGCUCUUCCUGGAGACAUUUACUUGGCUCACACUCUCCAAUCAAGUCUUUGUUAGAAUGUCCCUUAUUUGCGUGUUGCUCCUACCUAAUCUUUAUAAAAUGGCACCCUUUGCAUCACUCUCCAUCCCUUAACCAUUUUUUCCUAGCUUUUUUUUUUUCCCACAGCAUUUGUCAUCAUUGGAAAUACUGCAUAACCAUUUAUUGUCUAUCAUUGCCAAUUACAAUGUGAGUUCCAUGACAUUUGGAACUUCCUUUUGCUUGUUGCUAUGUCCCAGAACCUAGAGCAGUGUCUGAUACUUGAUAGGGAUUAAAUAACUCCUUAGUCUUGAUCAUGCACAGAGAAGCACAUAUGUCUCAGAUAAUCUCAGCUAAGAGCAGACUGAAGUCUCCUAAUAUUAGAACCAUUACCGACUUUUGUACUUUUCUAGGAACUAGUAUUUAGCAAAAUAAACAAAAUAUCGAAAAGCAAAAACAAAACUAAUGAAAGAAUAAUGUCACUACGCUUUCUCCAGCAUUUCAUUCAAACACAAUUAUAACUGGGGCAAAAUAGUAUUUACCCUCCAAGAUGCCUCUAUGUUAGAGUCAACUAAAAUUCACUUUUUAAGAAAGCUCAAGACCCUACUCUCUUCCUUCAAAAUGUUUUCUAUGAAUCACUUGCAAUUUGAUAUAUUAACAAAAGAAACAAAUUAAAAUUUACAUUAUACCACUUCUGGGCACUGGGGACAAAGCUUUCAAUUUUGAUGUAAUUGACUAUGCUGUGAUUCUUUGGAUGCUAGAUGACGAGUUAGUGGGUGCAGCACACCAGCAUGGCACAUGUAUACAUAUGUAACUAACCUGCACAUUGUGCACAUGUACCCUAAAACUUAAAGUAUAAUAAUAAUUAAAAAAUUAAUUAAUUAAAAAAAAUUAAAGAAAAUUAAAAAAAAA